rnacentral:misc_RNA from 1 species
AUGAAUUUUGGGUUAAUCCGGCUUUGCAAAAGGCUUUGGAAUCCCGCUCUUCAUAUUCCCAAACCCUAGUGCACAUUUUUCCUAUUCGAUGUUGGAUGCUUUACUGCUGAAGAUGUUGUAAUGGAGAAAAACUCUUGUGAUUUUAAAUAAGGUCAAGGAUGGAUUCAAAUCCAAUUUGAAAAUGUUGUAUAA